AUCACUGGUGAAGACAUGACUGAGCUGCUGGUGGAGAUGAGCAAACAGACACUCAGAGAACAGCUCUGGGAAUUUCAACUGGAGGAUUUUCACCAGGUGGAGGCAAGACCUCUUGUUAGACUGGUUAUGGACGUAAACAAUCGCAUGAAGAUGAGGGACGUUGAGUUUGAAGCCAGACAGCUGCUCAACUCCCCAGAGACCAUCCCUCCUAA